rnacentral:lncRNA from 1 species
AAGAAGGCCAAAUCAGAUAAAUGUAACAUUGGCCAAUGAACCAUGACCUUGAGGUCAAGGUCAAAUGAUUAUUGCCAGAAUGGAAUCCAUACACGAAAUAUAAUUGACUUCUGAGAAAUAGACCAUAUCACAAAUUUUUAAUUUGGCCAGUCAACCAUGAAAAAGAGGUCAAGGUCAGAUUAUUAUUGACAGACAGACAUGUACACCUUACAAACAUUCCAUACACCAAAUAUAAUUGACUGGAUACUUAUAGUAUCUGCAAAAUAGACCAAAACACCAAAAAAAAUAUA